rnacentral:rRNA from 1 species
AGGAGAGUUUGAUCCUGGCUCAGAACGAACGCUGGUGGCGUGUCUUAUACAUGCAAGUCGAGCGGUGUAGCAAUACAUAGCGGCGAACGGGUGAGUAACGCGUAAGCAAUCUGCCCCCUGCUCGGGAAUAGCCGUGCCAACGCGCGGGUAAUACCGGAUAUAGUGGCCCUGGACAUCCGGGGUUGACAAAAGAUUUAUCGGCAGGGGAUGAGCUUGCGUCCGAUUAGCUAGUUGGCGGGGCAACGGCCCACCAAGGCGACGAUCGGUAGCCGGCCUGAGAGGGUGAUCGGCCACAUUGGGACUGAGAUACGGCCCAGACUCCUACGGGAGGCAGCAGUAGGGAAUAUUGCACAAUGGGGGAAACCCUGAUGCAGCAACGCCACGUGUGGGAAGAAGCAUUUCGGUGUGUAAACCACUGUCGUGAGGGAAUAAGGCUGAGUUUCGGCUCAGUUGAAUGUACCUCGAGAGGAAGCACCGGCAAACUUCGUGCCAGCAGCCGCGGUAAUACGAGGGGUGCAAGCGUUGUUCGGAAUCACUGGGCGUAAAGGGAGCGCAGGCGGAAGCUCAAGCGGAUUGUACAAUACCGGGGCCCAACCCCGGACCUGCAGUCCGAACUGGGUUUCUUGGAUAGUUCAGGGGCAAGCGGAAUUCCUGGUGUAGCGGUGGAAUGCGUAGAGAUCAGGAAGAACACCGAUGGCGAAGGCAGCUUGCUGGGGACUUAUCGACGCUCAUGCUCGAAAGUGCGGGUAGCAAACAGGAUUAGAUACCCUGGUAGUCCCCUGAAUUUAA